CACGUAGUUAGCCGUGGCUUAUUCAUGAGGUACCGUCACUUCCCUCGUCCCUCAUAAAAGAAGUUUACAGCCCGAAAGCCUUCUUCCUUCACGCGGCGUUGCUGGGUCAGGCUUGCGCCCAUUGCCCAAUAUUCCCCACUGCUGCCUCCCGUAGGAGUCUGGGCCGUGUCUCAGUCCCAAUGUGGCCGGCCAACCUCUCAGUCCGGCUACUGAUCGUCGCCUAGGUGGGCCUUUACCCCGCUACUAGCUAAUCAGACGCGAGCUCAUCUCAGAGCGAUAAAUCUUUGACAACCACUGCCAUGCGACACAGUUGUAUUAUGCGGUAUUAGCACAGUUUUCACUGUGUUAUUCCCCAUCCAAGGUAGAUUGGCUCACGCGUUACUCACCCGUCCGCCACUAAGGACUUCCUCUCCAUCCGUACCGAAAACUUCUCGUACAAGGGUCCCUCCGUUCGACUUGCUAUGUGUUAAGCAACGGUCCCGCCGAGUCCGUUCACUCCUGACGUACGACGGAUAA
rnacentral:rRNA from 1 species